rnacentral:lncRNA from 1 species
CAGGAAAGGCGUUAGGAAAGGAGAACCAGACUGUGGAGGAGGCAGAUACUGGCGUGGUGGCCUGAGCUGACGUCUGUUGUGAGUGGUACAAGGUCAGCUGUUCCUCUAAGGGGUCAGAAACUGUAAAAAUAUAGUUUUUUUUUCCCCUUACUGUGUGCAUCCUUUGCUCUCCCACAUCUCAGCACUGAAAAUCGGAAGCAGACCUGUAGCCAGGCAGCCGGGGGGGCCCUCCCAAGACAGACCCCUCUCCCUCACCCUCCGCGGUAGCUCUUCUCCGACGCACACAGAGAGCAGUAUCUUGUUCACAUUCCCCGAGCUUUUCAGAGGCCACGACCACCACCAAAUGGAAGAAAUUAACUGCUAGAUGAUGCUGAGCACGCAGCCCGGGAUCUCACAUCAGCCAAUCGGAGAACUGCGCAUGAGCUGAUCACGCGCCCUGGAGGCCCCGCCCUCACCCAGCGUUUAAACGUGCUUGGCUGAAACCCUUUGGGAAAUUCCGGGAUUUUUCUUUUUUUUUUUUUUUUUUUAGCACAAGCCCCUCCCACCCUAUUCUCCUUGCUCAGCCCUGCAGUCAAUUUUUCUCUGCUCCAGAUGAGGGUGUUUCUUUUCUUGGUCUCGGGGUGCGCUGGCACGCGGACCUGCGCUUGGGAACAACCCCUCGUCCCGCCCAGGUGCUUCUCCCGGUCCCCGGCCUGCCCCCCUCUCUGCCAGGCCCCCGUCGCCCACACCUUCUCUGCCCCAGUGUUUUCUUGCUCAUCACUGCAAGCGUCAUCUUUCCUUUGAACCCUCCUUGGCAGGCUUCUCGAUUUUGUCAGCUUGGGAUUAUGACCCUACGUGUACAGACACAGGUCUGUGUGUAUCUGUGUACAGAAUGUUUCUGGAAGGACACACAAGACACUUAACAGUGGGGAGUGGAGCGCUGGGGUGGAAGGGACACGUGCUACUUUCCACUGUGUACUCAUUUUAUGUGACUCUUCUUAAACCAUGGGUGUUAUCUUUAAAUCGGAAAUUCAUAAAUAGCUACUACCCCCGGCUUUUAAAGGGCGAACCACAAGCCAGGUUCCCUGAGGUGGAGACGUGGAGACGUUGGGCUCCAAGUCCAGAGACACACCCGAGGGUUUCUCCAGCUAAGCCGCAGAGUUAGGCAAAGCCAGUUUCACAUGUCACAUGAAGGGAGGGACAGUCCUUGUGCAACACAGGAUCCCCAGGUACUUCCCGCAGGACAAGUGCCAGUGACCUCAGUAUGCAAACAGCUGUCCCACCAGCAUGCUCAUCCUCAGAGCACUUUCCCGGGGACCCCGGAUGAGCAGCAGGAAGGGUGACCAGGCAGCAAGCCCGGUCCCAGGGCCUUUUACGCUGCACUUUGCUGUGCGCAGACCCCCCAAAAGAGACAGAGACACGGGGAGACGGGGAGAUAGAGAUGGGGGAAGAGGAAGGGCCCAGGGUGUCCCAGGAGGCGGAAACAAUACAUUGCAUCACACUUCCCAACACACGCACAGAGCUGACCUUCUCAUGUUGGUGGCUUGGAAAAUAUUGAAGGUGCCAUAGGAGGAAGGGCCCAAGAAAGGGGGAGAAAGAAGCGAAAACAAAAACAGAGAAGAGGGAGAAAAGAAAGUGUGCGCAAGAGACUCGUGUGCUUUCACAACCGGGGACCUGGCUCACCAACCAGCUUCUGACACCGCCUCGCCCCCACCCCUGCUCCUGCUUAAAAGAAAUUGGCACUUAAAAUGGUGAAAGAAGAGUUCCCUUCGAGGCUCAGGGGUUAACGAACCCGACUGGUGUCCAUGAGGACAUGGGUUCAAUCCCUUGGCCUCCAUCAGGGGGUUAAGGAUCUGGCAUUGCCCUGAGCUGUGGUGUAGGCUGGCAGCUACAGCUGCUAUUCGACCCCUAGCCUGGGAACCCCCAUAUGCCACGCAUGCGGCCCUAAAAAGACCAAAAAUAAAUAAAUAAAUAAAUAAUAAAAUAAAUUUUAAAAAGGUGAACGAAAUGCCGUCAGGAGAAGCCCUUGCUUUUCUGUUUCUUUUUCACCGCCCCGCGGCAUAUGGGGUUCCCGGCCAGGGAUCAAAUCCGAACCCCCAAUUUGUGACCUACACGGAAGCCCCGGCAACGCCGGAUUCUUUAACUCAUUGUGCCCGGCCGGGGAUGGUACCCUGGAGCUGCAGAGACACUGCCGAACCCACUGGGCCCCAGCGGAAACUCGGGAAGUUGUUUUUAUUUCCACGGAAGAAGAGAGGUCCCGCUGUUUGCAAUGCUCACCUGCGUUGUCAGUAAACCCCUGCGGCCGUAAAAGUCGGAGGAGCCAGAGAGGCUGCCCCAGACCCGCUGCCGGCAGCGGGUGCGGGUGCGGAGCGGGGGAGGGGCCCGGGCGGGCGGCGCCCACCCCCCACGUGGUCUCCAGGGCCCGAUUUAGUCUCGCUGCCGAGCAGUUUUCUCAUCUGCCAAAUGCCACUGGAAUUCUUUUCAUAUUCUCAAGUGAAAAUACUCUUAUUUUCUUAAAAAGAGAAUCUAUCCCAAAGCAUUUAAAAAACUAUUAUUUCUUUUUAGCGUACUGUAUUUUUAGAGCGGUUUCGGGUUCGUAGCAAAAUCGAGUGGAGCGGACAGAAAUUUCCCACGUGCCCGCUGCCUGCCCCGCCUCUGUGCUGGCGCGGGAAUCCCGCUGGUUGGCCUGUGGGGACAUAGCGUGGUUUUUCCCUCGGUGCCUGGCGUGCCAGAGCCAGGGCCGCUCUGACCCAACCUGCCCGCAGUCAGCCGCCGGCCUUUGUGGGGUGUUUUGGGACCGCGGCAGGGACCCAGGAAUCCACGGCUCUCUGGACGUGCCCCCGGAUCAGCUCUGUCUCAGCCCUGCUCAUGGCCUGGCCUUCGAGGCUUCUCCUGACCUGCGUUCCUUCUGGGGUCUUCUAGCCUGCAUGAGUUUGCUUCUUAAUGCCUUAGCUGUGCCCAUGCUCUCAAGUGUCGGCUUCCUCUGGGCUGCGAAGUCAGAUUUGACCAUCUGCUUUGCAUCUUUCAAAAAUUCCAUCAGCUUCUCUCAACGGUUGAUCUCUUUUUCUGUGCUCUUUGAACUCAGGGGUUUAUAGCCUUUUUUAGUCCUUUAAGGCCAUUUUAGCAGACUUUAAGGAGGGGCUCAAAUUAAAGGCAUGUGUUCAAUCUG